rnacentral:lncRNA from 13 species
AAUGGCUGUUAAAUGUUACUGCUUUACUUUUGAGACUUAAUAUUAUCGUAUUUUAAUAUUAAUUUAAGAUUAAGUUUAGAUAAGUUAUACUGUACUAUUAUUGUCUCAUGAAAAGUUAAGUUGAAGAUUUUAUAGAAGUAUAAUGAUGAUUUACCAACUUAGUUGGGGUAGAAAAUGAUUUUUUUUUUUUUUUUUGAGAUGGAGUCUCCCUCUGUCACUCAGGCUAGAGUGAAAUAAUAUAGUCUUGGCUCACUGCAACCUCUCCUCCCAGUUGCAAGCAAUUCUCCUGCCUCAGUUUCCCAAGUAGCUGGGAUUACAGGCACACACCAUCACACCCAGCUACUUUUUGUACUUUUGGUAGAGACAAGAUUUCACCAUAUUGGCUACAAUGGUCUUGAACUCCUGACCUCAAGUGAUCCAUCCGCCUUGGCCUCCCAAAGUGCUGGGAUUACAGACAUGAGCCACCGCUCCUGGCAAAAAAUGAUAUUUAAGAUCAAAGAUGUAUUACUUUGAAUGCUGCCACCAUUAUUCUCCUACAUUGAGAUGUUUUUCUUACAUACAUAAUUUAUGAGGUCAAAUAAUACUACAAGGGUAUAAUGAAAAAACAGUGUUUGCCUACCUCAUUGCCCCACUCUGGUCUUCUGAUCCAUUUCACAAUGCUGGGGCACCACUUGCAGAUAACCUAACCUGAAUGAUGCCCCUGGAGUUGUGGAACAGAGGUCCUGCUUGGUCCUUAGGGAUCUUUUGCAGUUUCUUCCGGCCUUCACCUCCUGCAUCUAAAAAGCAUGCUCUCAUCAGCCAUUGCUUUCAGAUGCUUUGCCUGGUCUGCUCAGGUAAAUUAGGUAUAUGUGUAUCUGACAGCUAAAUAAUAUAGUUGCAUAGAAAAUGUUUUAUUAUUCUCCUGGUGCUUGCAGCUUGAAAGUUACUUGCAUAUCUAAAGAUCAUGUAGGGAUUUUAUUUUCAAGCUGUCUGUGUCCGGGGUUGUUUCCACCUUUGUUUCCUCUUGCUAUUGGUUUUGAG